CCUACGGGGGGCUGCAGUGGGGAAUAUUGCACAAUGGGGGAAACCCUGAUGCAGCAACGCCGCGUGAGCGAUGAAGGCCUUCGGGUCGUAAAGCUCUGUUGUCAGGGAAGAACAAGUACCGGAGUAACUGCCGGUACCUUGACGGUACCUGACCAGAAAGCCACGGCUAACUACGUGCCAGCAGCCGCGGUAAUACGUAGGUGGCAAGCGUUGUCCGGAACUAUUGGGCGUAAAGCGCGCGCAGGCGGUCCCUUAAGUCUGAUGUGAAAGCACCCGGCUUAACCGGGGAGGGUCAUUGGAAACUGGGGGACUUGAGUGCAGAAGAGAAGAGCGGAAUUCCACGUGUAGCGGUGAAAUGCGUAGAGAUGUGGAGGAACACCAGUGGCGAAGGAGGCUCUUUGGUCUGUAACUGACGCUGAGGCGCGAAAGCGUGGGGAGCAAACAGGAUUAGAUACCCGAGUAGUC
rnacentral:rRNA from 1 species